rnacentral:rRNA from 1 species
UACGAAGGGUGCAAGCGUUACUCGGAAUUACUGGGCGUAAAGCGUGCGUAGGUGGUUCGUUAAGUCUGAUGUGAAAGCCCUGGGCUCAACCUGGGAAUGGCAUUGGAUACUGGCGAUCUAGAGUGCGGUAGAGGGGUGUGGAAUUCCCGGUGUAGCAGUGAAAUGCGUAGAUAUCGGGAGGAACAUCUGUGGCGAAGGCGACACCCUGGACCAGCACUGACACUGAGGCACGAAAGCGUGGGUAGCAAACAGG